rnacentral:rRNA from 1 species
GCUCGUAGGCGGUUUGUCGCGUCUGCUGUGAAAUCCCCGAGGCUCAACCUCUAGCUUGCAGUGGGUACGGGCAGACUAGAGUGCGGUAGGGGAGAUUGGAAUUCCUGGUGUAGCGGUGGAAUGCGCAGAUAUCAGGAGGAACACCGAUGGCGAAGGCAGAUCUCUGGGCCGUAACUGACGCUGAGGAGCGAAAGGGUGGGGAGCAAACAGGCUUAGAUACCCUGGUAGUCCACCCCGUAAACGUUGGGAACUAGUUGUGGGGGCCUUUCCACGGUUUCCGUGACGCAGCUAACGCAUUAAGUUCCCCGCCUGGGGAGUACGGCCGCAAGGCUAAAACUCAAAGGAAUUGACGGGGACCCGCACAAGCGGCGGAGCAUGCGGAUUAAUUCGAUGCAACGCGAAGAACCUUACCAAGGCUUGACAUAUACGGGAACGGGCCAGAAAUGGUCAACUCUUUGGACACUCGUAUACAGGUGGUGCAUGGUUGUCGUCAGCUCGUGUCGUGAGAUGUUGGGUUAAGUCCCGCAACGAGCGCAACCCUCGUUCUAUGUUGCCAGCACGUAAUGGUGGGAACUCAUGGGAUACUGCCGGGGUCAACUCGGAGGAAGGUGGGGAUGACGUCAAAUCAUCAUGCCCCUUAUGUCUUGGGCUUCACGCAUGCUACAAUGGCCGGUACAAAGGGCUGCAAUACCGCAAGGUGGAGCGAAUCCCAAAAAGCCGGUCCCAGUUCGGAUUGAGGUCUGCAACUCGACCUCAUGAAGUCGGAGUCGCUAGUAAUCGCAGAUCAGCAACGCUGCGGUGAAUACGUUCCCGGGCCUUGUACACACCGC